CGUAACACGUGAGAUUCCGAUACACCCGAUUUUGUUUUUGGGCCAUAGAUUGUGGCUACGUGAAUCUGAUUAUCGCGGAUAAGAUCGUGAUCUAUAGUGAAGUGGGUAUAUAUCCACGGUGAUUUAAGGGUCUUUUUUUUAUAGAAAAAUAAAUUUUAAGUGGCCCUAAGUAACUACAAUUUCUUAAAUUAGACCGACCCCGAGAUGCGAGACGAGAUAACGACUGCUGAAUGUGUACUUAGAAAUUAAAACCUACACAAAAAUACUUUACCCAUAGUCCGCGAAAAAUUGGGACGAUUUUAACGUAGCCAGGUCUCUCUUUUUCUUCCUCUUUUACUUUUUUUUUUUUUUUUUUUUACUUUCAAGGCCAACUAGCUACUACGAAUUAUUGUUACCCGCGAUAUAAACGCGAAACUAACCGCGGACUACGAGUAAUAGAAUGCGAUAUAAACUCGGAUUAAAAGUAUUUUAUUCAUUAGACUCGAGUUAAAAAUAAAUCCGUUAUCCCGCACACAUGUAACUAUAGAUGUAACACGUACGUAUAUAUACUCAUAACCUUUUGCAUAUUAUUUUCUGCACGCCGUGCGAAACGCCAAGGCAUGAGCAAGAUAUGCGUUUCUUAUCGCUCCGAAGAAUUAUCAUAUUCAGACUUUCUUUCUCCUCAACUUGAAUCUAUAUAAGAUUGUUAUCGCUUUAUCGUUAAUAUUAUUAUAGCCACCGUUGUAAAGCGAUACCUCCGCUGCAGAAGCUGAAAUGGACAAUGAAAGAGACAAAAAAUAAGAUGAAUAAAAUUAAUUUAUUUAUCGGUAAUAUGAUUUCGAAAAAAAUCGCGAAUGUAACGGGUGAGGUAUUAAACAGUUAUACAUUUCCCGAGGGCAGAGUUAAACUACAUUAAGAUAUACAUAGAUAUAGUGCAGCACAAAACUCGACGAAAAACUUUCACCAGACGACCGACCACCAGGGAUAUAAUGAUGAUGAUAAUAAUCAUGCACGUUGAGUUUCUGGUUCUGUUAAAGCGCGUGAUUUGGAGGUAGCUGCUGGUCGGGUGUUGAGGGAAAUUUUGUUUGUUGUAACGAAGAAAGUGAGCGAGCUUUCUGAGGGGCAGAAAAAAAAUUGAACGGCUUGUGCGCCCCGGAGGUUGUAUUUAAAAUUAAACAAUCUAAACUCCAAAUAGAUCAGUUUGAAGCUUUUUUUUUCUACAGCUUUUUUGUUAUUUUAUGUAGACGCCGUGAUUUUCCAAACUUUUUCUCCUGUUUUCUCGGUGACUCACCUAAAUAAAGUAAAACGGUAAACCAAAUAAUUCGGGCGUUUCUGGGAGUUGAAAAAUUCUGUUUCUCCAUUGUAUGACAGGUAUACGUGCAGAAGUAAUACGUGGGUGGUAGCAAAAAAAUUCGAUACACUUGGCUAAAUUUUGAAAAUACACUUUCAGUCCAACAAUUUUAUCAAAGUUAUCAGUACGAUUAUACGGGAUAUCAGUUAUCGGAACUUGUUAUCUGGUACACGGGCCGUACCGUUAAUACCUGGAUCGAAGAAAACGAAAACACGCGGCGAAAACGACGAGCUAAAAUAUACCCGAAUUCCUACGAGCGCACUACCCCGUUACCUCUGAUAAUUCCCUGGCCCUUGAAUUUUUCUUCCUUUUUUUCACGGUGUAAUAUUUUCUGUAAAAAUUGUUGACAGUUUUAGUACGUGUUUGUUAAAUGAAACUAAUGUACAUUAUAAUAAAGACUAAAUAUUUUUCACCAAAAAUUCCAUAGUUUCGAAGGCAAACAUCGCCAACCCAAAUCUCUAAUCUCAUACAAAUAACCGUGGAUGAAGACGACAUGGGAGUGAAUAAAAUGUUGUUUUUCUCACAACGUUCAUGAUCGCAGAUGCGCGGAGUGUAAAUGAGGAGACGUAAAGUCUAAAAGAACCUUGAUGAGUACUUAUACAUGUUGCUGCCGCUGCUGCUGCAGGCUGAAAGAAUGUCUUCUUCGAUGGAAUAUGCAUAGUAGACAAACAUGUAGCCUACGAAGCAGUUUGGCUUCUCAUCGGGAAUACAAGACUACCCUAGGAGCAUCUGCGAGGACUAUCAUCAUCGAUACGUUGAACCUAUCAUUAUAUUUUCGGUGCAGAUGAUUUAUAUGAAUAAGUUAUGCAUUUUUUUGAUAAAAACUAUCGAUUUAUUGAUACAAUAUUUAUCAAAUAAAAAGUAUUGUCCGAAAAGUGUUAACUGGGAAAUGAGUAAUAUUAUACAUAUGAACAUGUUGUAUACAUUUUGAUUUUUCGUUGAAGACUAUCGAAUUAAUUAUCUGAUGUUAUUCGAAAUAUGAGAAUUGUCCACGCUAUUGUAACUCGUUAUGAUCAUAAAAAAAUCAAUGUGUCUAUAAAAAGGUAGCCAUUGUAGCCAUUACGAUGUUAGAGCAUGUAUUUUUCAACGUUGAUUUGACAAUAAAGCUCAUCUACUCCUAA